rnacentral:sRNA from 1 species
UUUCCCAACUCAUACAGGAUACAUCAAGGCAAUUAAAUCUGUGCGUAAACGGUAGGAAGAGCAGAACCGACAUGCCACGAAAUUUAACCGUGCCUUGUACGGUGUUGUCGGCUUCUUCUCAUACAAAGGGCGCUACAGCUUCAACAUCCUAGGAGUAUUAUGUGAUUACACGAAGAGGAUUCGAUACUUCUAGUACAGUUAUCCUGAUCCUGCCCAUGAUGCUUGAAUCUUCAAGAACCGUCAUCUAUUUGAAGAGGCCAUCGGUGACGUUCGAAGGAUUGGUGAAGCCAUACUGCAAGGAUAAUUUCAGAACAACUCAAAUGCCCUGGUUGCCGCCCAUUCUGCCUAACAUCACCGACUGUGGUUCGCGGAUUUGCCACCCACUUCUGUCUCUUCGUUCCCUUCUUUUCCUUCGUCUGCUCUCGAAAUCCUUCCAGAACUUUUUUGUCUUUCUUUUCGUGUACAUCGACUCCCUUAGGUUAGCAGCAUUUUUAAUAAAUAAUUUGAAUGAUGAAAUAGAAAAAAAAAAUGUUUUUG